UGUGUACUCCCUCCGUCCCAAAAUAAGUGACUCAAAAAUGACUUAACUUUGUACUAAAGUUAAGUCAUUUUUGAGUCACUUAUUUUGGGACGGAGGGAGUAGUAU
rnacentral:pre_miRNA from 1 species